GAAAGGGCUUUGUCGAAGACUGUUUUGCGUGUAGGAUAGUGCGUAAAAUGGUUCAAAACGAAGCCCAAAGCAAUUUUUGAUACGACGGUCUCUGUCUCGGCAUUCCACAGUCGUUUCAGUAACUUUUACGUGCAAUUACAAUA